AAUGGUCUCGGCCCGAAACGUCAACAGCACUUCUUCCUAUAGAUGCUGCCUGGCCUGCUGCAUUCCACCAGCACUUUGUGUGUGCAGCUGAUCAUGGAUUACAGGAGGAAUGGAGACAGACAAGCCUCUAUUGACAUCGAUGGGUGAGAGGGCUCUUGAACCAGAGGGGAUAAGUUCACUCAACUUCACAUACCCCAACACCGGACAGUUCCCACAACCUAUGGACUCACUUUCAAGAACUCGAAACGUUCGGCAGAGAUGGUGCUUGGUGCUCGGUGUCGGAGGGCUGGCCGGAGGCUCGAAGUUUUUGGAUGGACUCGGAGUUGGCUGUGAUCGGAGCUCCCGAAGUGCUGUAUCAGCAAGCUGCAGCGCUGGAGGUUCAUGGCAGGAAGAGUUUUUCUUCCUUCUACCGUCUGCGUGAGACGAUGGGCUGUCGUGACUUUGAGACUUUCUUUUAAACCGUGCCAUGGACUGCUCUUUAUCAGAUUACGGUAUUGCUUUGCACUGUUGAAACUAUGUGUUAUAAUUAUGUGGGUCUUUGUCAGUUAUUCUUUUAUCAAUUAUGGUAUUGUCUGCACUGUUGGAACUAUAUGUUAACUAUAACUAUCUGUAACUAUGUGGUUUUGUGUAGGUCUUGUAGCUUUAGGUUUGUCUAAUGAGUUUGUAGUUCCUUUCUGGGGAACGUGCUAAGAUGGUAGUGCGAUAUCGAUACGCAGCAGCCUCUCCGGACUCUGGAUUGGGGAUUAUCAAAUGUUAUGUGGUUUUUCUUGUGUGGUCUGUUUUGUGCUUUUUCAUGAUAUCAUUCUGGAAAACAUUGUCUCAUUUUUAACUGCAUUGUAUUUGUGGUUUAUAAAUGACAAUAAACUGAAUCUGAUCUGAUCAUGUCAUGCUUUCAAUAUUUAUUGAUUAUGUAUAAUUAUUAUUCCCAUUUUUUUUACUCCUCUUUCUUUUUGAAUUUGUGCAGAUUGUUGUUUUUUUUGGCACGUUGGUUGUUUGUCCAUCCUGAUGGGAGCGGUCUUUCUUUGAGUCUAUUGUGUUUCUUGUAUUUACUGUAAAUGCCUGCAAGAAAAUGAAUCUCAGGGCUGUAUAUAGUGAUUUACGGUAUGUACUGUGAUAAUAAAUUUACUUUGAACCUUG